UACGUAGGGUGCGAGCGUUGUCCGGAAUUACUGGGCGUAAAGAGCUCGUAGGUGGUUUGUCGCGUUGUUCGUGAAAACUCACAGCUUAACUGUGGGCGUGCGGGCGAUACGGGCAGACUGGAGUACUGCAGGGGGAGACUGGAAUUCCUGGUGUAGCGGUGGAAUGCGCAGAUAUCAGGAGGAACACCGGUGGCGAAGGCGGUUCUCUGGGCAUGUCCUGACGCUGAGGAGCGAAAGUGUGGGGAGCGAACAGG
rnacentral:rRNA from 1 species